rfam:TPA: Bos taurus chromosome 3, whole genome shotgun sequence.
GUUUCUGUAGUGUAGUGGUUAUCACGUUCGCCUCACACGCGAAAGGUCCCCGGUUCGAAACCGGGCAGGAACA